AUUAAGGUGAAACCGCGAAUGGCUCAUUAAUUCAGAUACAAUUUACAGGAUACCAAAAAAUCCUACUUGGAUAACUGUGGUAAUUCUAGAGCUAAUACAUGCCGAUAAAGCUCCGAUCCCUCGCGGGAAACGAGCGCUUUUAUUAGAACAAGACCAAUACGGGCAAAUCGAAACCGGGGCCAGGGAAAGAUGCUUCGGUUGUUUAGCCGGAAAACCUCUUAACCGGGGUUUGAAGGCCUUCCUCCGUUCUCUUUCCUCCCGGCGUAGAACCCGUCUCAAAAACUUGGUGACUCUGGAUAACUUUUGCUGAUCGCACGGUCCUCGCACCGGCGACGCAUCUUUCAAAUGUCUGACCUAUCAACUGGAUUGUGCUCUAUGGUAGUACAAUGGUUGUAACGGGUAACGGAGAAUCAGGGUUCGAUUCCGGAGAGGGAGCCUGAGAAACGGCUACCACAUCCAAGGAAGGCAGCAGGCACGCAAAUUACCCACUCCCAGCACGGGGAGGUAGUGACGAAAAAUAACAAUACGGGACUCUUCCGAGGCCUCGUAAUUGGAAUGAGCACACUUUAAAACCUUUAGCGAGGAUCUAUUGGAGGGCAAGUCUGGUGCCAGCAGCCGCGGUAAUUCCAGCUCCAAUAGCGUAUAUUAAAGUUGUUGCGGUUAAAAAGCUCGUAGUUGGAUCUCGGUGCCGGACCGACGGUCCGCCCUUCGUUUGGCGGAACACUGUCGGCCCCGGAGCCAUCAACCCGCCGGCCUUGUCCCUCGAUGCUCUUCACCGAGUGUCGUGCGGCGACCGGAACGUUUACUUUGAACAAAUUAGAGUGCUCAAGGCAGGCGCAGUCCCCGCCCGCAUAGCCCAGCAUGGAAUAAUGGAAUAGGACCUCGGUUCUAUUUUGUUGGUUUUCGGAACCCGAGGUAAUGAUUAAUAGGGACGGACGGGGGCAUUCGUAUUGCGGCGCUAGAGGUGAAAUUCUUGGACCGCCGCAAGACGAACUACUGCGAAAGCAUUUGCCAAGAAUGUUUUCAUUAAUCAAGAACGAAAGUUAGAGGUUCGAAGGCGAUCAGAUACCGCCCUAGUUCUAACCAUAAACGAUGCCGACCAGCGAUCCGCCGGAGUUCCUCCGAUGACUCGGCGGGCAGCUUCCGGGAAACCAAAAGUUUUUGGGUUCCGGGGGAAGUAUGGUUGCAAAGCUGAAACUUAAAGGAAUUGACGGAAGGGCACCACCAGGAGUGGAGCCUGCGGCUUAAUUUGACUCAACACGGGGAAACUCACCCGGCCCGGACACUGGAAGGAUUGACAGAUUGAGAGCUCUUUCUUGAUUCGGUGGUUGGUGGUGCAUGGCCGUUCUUAGUUGGUGGAUUUGAUUUGUCAGGUUGAUUCCGAUAACGAACGAGACUCUAGCCUGCUAAAUAGCUGAUCCAUACCAUCGGUGUGCCGUUACCUCGCCUUCGCGAUCCGACGCGUCUCCGAGUCUCGGUUCUUUCAUCCCCCGCAUCCUUUAGGGCUUUCUGCGGCCUAGCUCGCUGAGGCUUUUGCGCGUUGUUCUCUUAUCAACGGAUGUGUCGUAUGUGCCCGGCGGCUUCGCGCCGUCGUGGUACCGUCGGCCUCCGGGGUAUCGGGGCGCGUGUAUAUUACCGAAAGUGGGCGAAAGUCGUACGUCUACCCGGGGAAGCGGGACCAGGUGUUUGGCCGCUCGGGCUAAAGGCGUUGCCGGUGAUGUUGGUGAGAGUCGGCCUCCGGAGUGGGUCACUCGCUUCUUAGAGGGACAAGCGGCGUAUAGCCGCACGAGAUUGAGCAAUAACAKGUSUGUGAUGCCCUUAGAUGUCCGGGGCCGCACGCGCGCUACAAUGAAACGGUGAGCAGGUCGCUUGCCCUAGUCCGAGAGGACCGGGUAACCCUGUGAAUCCAUUUCAUGGUUGGGAUCGGGGCUUGAAACCAACCCCGUGAACUAGGAAUUCCUWGUAUGCGCGAGUCAUCAACUUGCG
rnacentral:rRNA from 1 species